CGCGAACGCUGGCGGCAGGCUUAACACAUGCAAGUCGAGCGGGCGUAGCAAUACGUCAGCGGCAGACGGGUGAGUAACGCGUGGGAACAUACCUCUUGGUUCGGAACAACACAGGGAAACUUGUGCUAAUACCGGAUAAGCCCUUACGGGGAAAGAUUUAUCGCCGAGAGAUUGGCCCGCGUCUGAUUAGCUAGUUGGUGAGGUAACGGCCCACCAAGGCGACGAUCAGUAGCUGGUCUGAGAGGAUGAUCAGCCACAUUGGGACUGAGACACGGCCCAAACUCCUACGGGAGGCAGCAGUGGGGAAUAUUGGACAAUGGGCGCAAGCCUGAUCCAGCCAUGCCGCGUGAGUGAUGAAGGCCUUAGGGUUGUAAAGCUCUUUCGGCGGGGACGAUAAUGACGGUACCCGCAGAAGAAGCCCCGGCUAACUUCGUGCCAGCAGCCGCAGUAAG
rnacentral:rRNA from 1 species